rnacentral:rRNA from 1 species
UACGAAGGGGGCUAGCGUUGCUCGGAUUGACUGGGCGUAAAGGGCGCGUAGGCGGAUAGUACAGUCAGGCGUGAAAUUCUUGGGCUCAACCUGGGGGCUGCGUUUGAUACGUAUUGUCUGGAGUUCGGAAGAGGGUCGUGGAAUUCCCAGUGUAGAGGUGAAAUUCGUAGAUAUUGGGAAGAACACCGGUGGCGAAGGCGGCGACCUGGUCCGAUACUGACGCUGAGGCGCGAAAGCGUGGGGAGCAAACAGG